UCCCUGGUGGCUCAGACUGUAAAGAAUCUGCCUGCAAUGCAGAAGACCCAGGUUCAAUCCCUGAGUUGGGAA
rnacentral:tRNA from 1 species